UGGGGAAGGUUUUCCUUCUGGAGAUCCCUCCCUUGGGAGUUUUUCUGCAAGCUUAGGGCAUGGUGUUGGUAAUGCCUGUUCCCAAGGAACUGCAGUUCAGCUUGGAGCAUUGAGCAGCAUCUCCAGAGGACAAACUAAGGGAGGUACAACUCUGAGGUUGUAUCAGACCUGGAAAGUAAUUACGCAUCAGCUACUUGGAAAGGAGACUUAAUGCCAGACAUUGGAUGAAUUUUCAUUUUGCAGAAGAAACAGACAAUGGACUUGCCACAGCAAUCUGCCACUGCUAACUCAAACAGCGCUGAAGGAUAAGUACAACUCCCCAUCAGGCUGCAAAUGAAGAACAACAGUUAAAAUCUCUCCGCUUGAAAGCUUGCUGCACAUGCUCACUUCCCUUUCUGUCGUCUUUGCUCUUCUGUGACAAAUGUGCUCAUGAAGCUCUGAAAACUGCACUGGAUUUGGCCUGGCAGAUGAGGUGGUAUCAAAGCAAGAUACAACAACAGGACGAACAAGAUAUUUUAAACCUGUUUCCUCCUUAAAGAAGGUGAGUACAUGGAUGUUAGGCUUCUUUAAUGGUUCUUAAUGUGAUUCUAUUUUCAAGAAACAGCUAGUAUACCAAUGUUGUUUUCUUGCUCUAGUAAGUAAUGGGGCUUGACUGGAAGAAAAGAAACAUACUUCUAGUGAAUAGAAUUUGUUUACGGUGACAUUAGGUCUAAUCUGCUUAGCUUAAUGACAGUUAAACAAAAGUGUUUGCUUUCCUAGUGCUGUUUUGAUUCUUAAAACUCAUCUAGCACAGGAAAGAGAGAAUUUUCUGCCAUUUUAGUGUUGAUAUAAAUGAACUGUUUCCAUGUUCAGCCUGCCAUUCCUAUCUGCUUUACAGUCAUUUUACAUAUAGUACAACACAACUUACCUUGUGUGCUUUUCUUUCAGCAGUUUGACAACUGCAUGUAUGAAAAAUAUAUUUCUUCAGAUAAACAUAUUUAUUCUCAGAUAAAUACAGGAUCAAUUUCUUCAGAAGUAUUGCAAAUACAUCCUUGUUUAUAGUGGAACAAUUCUGAGCACAAGCACCAGGUAUUACAAACUGAAUACCAGUUUAUCCUCUAGCCAGCAGCCACAAGGUAAUCAGAAAAUAUGUGUACAUCUUUAUUUCUAAUCCAGUUAGAAGAGCUGGCUUUGUCUGAGGAGCUUUUAGUGUCCUUGCAAAACCUUGCUUCACUGAUCUCCCAGCACUUAUGCUCCUUUCCUUUAUGAUCCGUUUGAUUUCUGUUCCUAGGAUUUCUGCCAAGAAAACUAAACAGGCUAUUGGAAAUCUUGGUUACAUUGAUAUGUGGAAUGUUUCCAGAUCAGCUUUUGUGAUUUGUUUGUUGCAAAUUACAAUUUGCUUAUGAGAAUAAUACCAGUGUUUAAAAGCUAAUGAAAUGAACCACCAAACUUUGGGUGAUUUUCCAUUAGUUCUUAGCCAGCUCGUCUCAGAGCUGUGGGAAAGCUGCUUGGAGCCUUAACCUUUUGGUUCUGUUUCUUCAAUUAUUCAUAAUACAAUAACCCUGCAAGGGUUUAAACAAUGGGAUUCCCCUGUUUGUGGAAAACAAAUCUUCCAGCUAUAUUUAAUAUUUUAAGAGCUCACAAGUUAUUACUCAGCAGAGCUUGCAGCAGGAAAUCACCAUUCAGACACCUACGCUGAUCAAUAAAAUAUCAGAAGCAGAGUAUAAGCACUUGCCUUUAUAAGUUGUUCUUUAUAAAACUAUACAUUGACUCAGCCUUCUGAUGGUAGUUGUUGCCAGCAGAGCUGAGUCACAACAUCCAUGCAUUAGACAAAAUGGGGGAGCUACUUGUUUUAGCUGCUUUAAAGAUCUUUUUUUGUCUUAAAACUUUAAGUAAAAACUGUAUCAGUGUUUUAAUACUGGAAUUUCAUGGGUAAGUUUUUUCUUUUUUUUUUUCUUUUUUCUUUUUUUUGUAAAAAAGGCUAUGCAGUAAUUUUAAGAGAAAAGUGUGAGCUUUAUAUUGCAAAAUAUUUAUGGAUAAGAGAGCAGAUUGCAAUGCCUGAUGCUAGGAACCCUGAUUCUAAUGGACUCCAAAGUAUGAUGCUCUGCAUGUUUGUGCACAGUCUCUAUCCUCAUUCUCAUCAAAGUAUAGUUUACAUGCAUUACAAUCCUUGUUGAUGUAAAAUUUCUCUCAAAGAUGGUGUAACUGUUCUCACUAAUCUUGCUUUCUUUUGAGAAGAAUGUUCUAGGUAAUGAUUACAGAAUUAAUAAUAAAUGGAUUGAGCUCUAUUGUCCAGCUAAGGAAAUACAAUAUCGCAAAUCUCUAUUUCCUUUCUUUAGUGUAAAAUGGCCUUUAGAAGCUCUUAGCCAGUCAGUCUUUAAGUUAUGACAUUACAACUUAGGACAAUGGAAGACAAAUACAUAGGUUCUGCAGGCUGGUGC
ensembl:lncRNA